rnacentral:rRNA from 1 species
GUAGGGAAUCUUCCACAAUGGGCGCAAGCCUGAUGGAGCAACACCGCGUGAGUGAAGAAGGGUUUCGGCUCGUAAAGCUCUGUUGUUAAAGAAGAACACGUAUGAGAGUAACUGUUCAUGCGUUGACGGUAUUUAACCAGAAAGUCACGGCUAACUACGUGCCAGCAGCCGCGGUAAUACGUAGGUGGGCAGCGUUAUCCGGAUUUAUUGGGCGUAAAGAGAGUGCAGGCGGUUUUCUAAGUCUGAUGUGAAAGCCUUCGGCUUAACCGGAGAAGUGCAUCGGAAACUGGAUAACUUGAGUGCAGAAGAGGGUAGUGGAACUCCAUGUGUAGCGGUGGAAUGCGUAGAUAUAUGGAAGAACACCAGUGGCGAAGGCGGCUACCUGGUCUGCGACUGACGCUGAGACUCGAAAGCAUGGGUAGUGAACAGGAUUAGAAACCCUGGUAGUCC